UACGUAGGUGACAAGCGUUGUCCGGAUUUACUGGGCGUAAAGGGCGCGUAGGCGGCCUGCUAAGUCGAACGUGAAAUCCCCGGGCUCAACCCGGGAACUGCGUCCGAUACUGGCAGGCUUGAAUUCGGGAGAGGGAUGCGGAAUUCCAGGUGUAGCGGUGAAAUGCGUAGAUAUCUGGAGGAACACCGGUGGCGAAGGCGGCAUCCUGGACCGGCAUUGACGCUGAGGCGCGAAAGCCAGGGGAGCAAACGGG
rnacentral:rRNA from 1 species